rnacentral:rRNA from 1 species
UACGUAGGGUGCGAGCGUUGUCCGGAAUUAUUGGGCGUAAAGAGCUCGUAGGCGGUUUGUCGCGUCUGCUGUGAAAACGCGAGGCUCAACCUCGCGCCUGCAGUGGGUACGGGCAGACUAGAGUGCGGUAGGGGAGAUUGGAAUUCCUGGUGUAGCGGUGGAAUGCGCAGAUAUCAGGAGGAACACCGAUGGCGAAGGCAGAUCUCUGGGCCGUAACUGACGCUGAGGAGCGAAAGCAUGGGGAGCGAACAGG